rnacentral:rRNA from 1 species
CCGACGGUGAGGGAUGAAAGCUGGGGGAGCAAACCGGAUUAGAUACCCGGGUAGUCCCAGCCGUAAACGAUGUGCGUUAGGUGUAUCGGUGACCACGAGUCACCGAGGUGCCGAAGAGAAAUCGUGAAACGUACCGCCUGGGAAGUACGGUCGCAAGGCUGAAACUUAAAGGAAUUGGCGGGGGAGCACCACAACAGGUGGAGCCUGCGGUUUAAUCGGACUCAACGCCGGAAAACUCACCAGAUAAGACAGCUGAAUGAUAGUCGGGCUGAAGACUCUACUUGACUAGCUGAGAGGAGGUGCAUGGCCGUCGUCAGUUCGUACUGUGAAGCAUCCUGUUAAGUCAGGCAACGAGCGAGACCCACGCCAACAGUUGCU